AACCUCCGCAAUGUGAGAAAUCGCGACGGGGGGAUCCCAAGUGCCAUUCUUAACGGGAUGGCUUUUCAUUAGUGUAAAGAGCUUUUGGAAUAAGGGCUGGGCAAGACCGGUGCCAGCCGCCGCGGUAACACCGGCAGCUCUAGUGGUAGCAGUUUUUAUUGGGCCUAAAGCGUCCGUAGCCGGUUUAAUAAGUCUCUGGUGAAAUCCCGUAGCUUAACUGUGGGAAUUGCUGGAGAUACUAUUAGACUUGAGACCGGGAGAGGUUAGAGGUACUCCCAGGGUAGAGGUGAAAUUCUGUAAUCCUGGGAGGACCGCCUGUUGCGAAGGCGUCUAACUGGAACGGUUCUGACGGUGAGGGACGAAAGUUAGGGGCGCGAACCGGAUUAGAUACCCGGGUAGUCCUAACUGUAAACGAUGCGGACUUGGUGUUGGGGUGGCUUUGAGCUGCUCCAGUGCCGAAGGGAAGCUGUUAAGUCCGCCGCCUGGGAAGUACGGUCGCAAGACUGAAACUUAAGGAAUU
rnacentral:rRNA from 1 species